CAACCUUGAAAUACCACCCUGGUAAUUUCGGAGUUCUAACCUCGAUCGGUAUAUCCCGGUCAGGGACAAUGUAUGGUGGGUAGUUUGACUGGGGCGGUCUCCUCCCAAAGCGUAACGGAGGAGCACAAAGGUGGGCUAAGUACGGUCGGACAUCGUACGGUUAGUGUAAUGGCACAAGCCCGCUUGACUGCGAGACAGAC
rnacentral:rRNA from 13 species